GAUGAACGCUAGCGGCAGGCUUAACACAUGCAAGUCGAGGGGCAGCACGGGUAGCAAUACCUGGUGGCGACCGGCGCAAGGGUGCGUAACGCGUGAGCAACAUGCCCUAUACAGGGGGAUAAUCCAGGGAAACUUGGUCUAAUAUCCCAUAGUAUUUAGAGGAGGCAUCUUCUAUAAAUUAAAGCUUCGGUGGUAUAGGAUUGGCUCGCGUGACAUUAGCUAGAUGGUGAGGUAACGGCUCACCAUGGCAAUGAUGUCUAGGGGUUCUGAGAGGAAGGCCCCCCACACUGGGACUGAGACACGGCCCAGACUCCUACGGGAGGCAGCAGUGAGGAAUAUUGGACAAUGGAUGGAAAUACUGAUCCAGCCAUGCCGCGUGCAGGAAGACAGCCCUAUGGGUUGUAAACUGCUUUUAUAUGGGAGCAAUAAGGUCUACGUGUAGACUGAUGAGAGUACCAUAUGAAUAAGC
rnacentral:rRNA from 1 species